rnacentral:rRNA from 1 species
GAAGUAAAAGUCGUAACAAGGUUUCCGUAGGUGAACCUGCGGAAGGAUCAUUAUUGAAAUAAACCUGAUGGGUUGUUGCUGGCUCUCUAGGGAAGCAUGUGCACACCUUGUCAUCUUUAUGUCUCCCCAUGUGCACCUUUUGUAGACCCAGGGAUAUCUUUCCUGGUGUCUAUGUUGAUUCUUCAUUUACGCAUGUCAAUAAGAAUGUUGUGUCCAUGAUAAAAUCUAUACAACUUUCAGCAACGGAUCUCUUGGCUCUCGCAUCGAUGAAGAACGCAGCGAAAUGCGAUAAGUAAUGUGAAUUGCAGAAUUCAGUGAAUCAUCGAAUCUUUGAACGCACCUUGCGCUCCUUGGUAUUCCGAGGAGCAUGCCUGUUUGAGUGUCAUUAAUAUUAUAUAUCGAACCCUUGAGUGGUUUGGAUGUGGGGGUUUGUUGGCCUCUUCAAAGGGGUCAGCUCUCCUGAAAUGCAUUAGCAGAACAACCUGUUCGUUCAUUGGUGUGAUAACUAUCUACGCUAUUGAAUGGUGAAGGCGGUUCGGCUUUCCAACUGUCGUCUUUUUCUAUGAUGUGACCUCAAAUCAGGUAGGACUACCCGCUGAACUUA